UACGGAGGGUGCGAGCGUUGUCCGGAAUCACUGGGCGUAAAGGGCGCGUAGGCGGCCGGAGAAGUCGGUGGUGAAAGCUCGGGGCUCAACUCCGAGUCGGCCACCGAUACUGUUCGGCUCGAGUUUGGUAGAGGCAGAUGGAAUUCCGGGUGUAGCGGUGGAAUGCGUAGAGAUCCGGAAGAACACCGGUGGCGAAGGCGGUCUGCUGGGCCGACGCUGACACUGAGAGACGAAAGCUAGGGGAGCGAAUGGG
rnacentral:rRNA from 1 species